rnacentral:rRNA from 1 species
GAUGAACGCUGGCGGCGUGCCUAAUACAUGCAAGUCGAGCGAACAGACGAGGAGCUUGCUCCUCUGACGUUAGCGGCGGACGGGUGAGUAACACGUGGAUAACCUACCUAUAAGACUGGGAUAACUUCGGGAAACCGGAGCUAAUACCGGAUAAUAUAUUGAACCGCAUGGUUCAAUAGUGAAAGACGGUUUUGCUGUCACUUAUAGAUGGACCCGCGCCGCAUUAGCUAGUUGGUAAGGUAACGGCUUACCAAGGCAACGAUGCGUAGCCGACCUGAGAGGGUGAUCGGCCACACUGGAACUGAGACACGGUCCAGACUCCUACGGGAGGCAGCAGUAGGGAAUCUUCCGCAAUGGGCGAAAGCUUGACGGAGCAACGCCGCGUGAGUGAUGAAGGUCUACGGAUCGUAAAACUCUGUUAUUAGGGAAGAACAAAUGUGUAAGUAACUAUGCACGUCUUGACGGUACCUAAGCAGAAAGCCACGGCUAACUACGG